rnacentral:rRNA from 1 species
UACAGAGGGGGCAAGCGUUAUUCGGAAUUAUUGGGCGUAAAGGGCGCGUAGGCGGCUUGGCAAGUGGAUGGUGAAAUCCCUCGGCUUAACCGAAGAACGGCCGUCCAAACUGCUUCGCUUGAGACCGGGAGAGGUGAGUGGAAUUCCCAGUGUAGCGGUGAAAUGCGUAGAUAUUGGGAGGAACACCAGUGGCGAAGGCGGCUCACUGGACCGGUACUGACGCUGAAGCGCGAAAGCGUGGGGAGCAAACGGG